ACCGAGUUUACAACUCCCAAACCCCUGUGAACAUACCUUAUGUUGCCUCGGCGGAUCAGCCCGCGCCCCGUAAAAAGGGACGGCCCGCCGCAGGAACCCUAAACUCUGUUUUUAGUGGAACUUCUGAGUAUAAAAAACAAAUAAAUCAAAACUUUCAACAACGGAUCUCUUGGUUCUGGCAUCGAUGAAGAACGCAGCAAAAUGCGAUAAGUAAUGUGAAUUGCAGAAUUCAGUGAAUCAUCGAAUCUUUGAACGCACAUUGCGCCCGCCAGUAUUCUGGCGGGCAUGCCUGUUCGAGCGUCAUUUCAACCCUCAAGCCCAGCUUGGUGUUGGGAGCUGCAGUCCUGCUGCACUCCCCAAAUACAUUGGCGGUCACGUCGAGCUUCCAUAGCGUAGUAAUUUACAUAUCGUUACUGGUAUCGUCGCGGCCACGCCGUUAAACCCCAACUUCUGAAUGUGACCUCGGAU
rnacentral:rRNA from 1 species